GACGAACGCUGGCGGCGUGCCUAACACAUGCAAGUCGAACGAGGUCCAUGGAAGCUUGCUUCCAGAAGACCGAGUGGCGAACGGGUGAGUAACACGUGAGAAACCUGCCCUGGAGUGGGGAAUAACUCGAGGAAACUCGAGCUAAUACCGCAUACCCUCUGACGAUCGCAUGGUCGACAGAGGAAAGAAUUUCGCUCUAGGAGGGUCUCGCGGCCUAUCAGCUUGUUGGUGGGGUAAUGGCCCACCAAGGCUACGACGGGUAGCUGGUUUGAGAGAACGAUCAGCCACACUGGGACUGAGACACGGCCCAGACUCCUACGGGAGGCAGCAGUGGGGAAUCACGCGCAAUGGGCGAAAGCCUGACGCAGCAACGCCGCGUGCGGGAUGACGGCCUUCGUGGUUGUAAACCGCUUUCAGCAG
rnacentral:rRNA from 1 species